rnacentral:lncRNA from 1 species
AACUGUGACAACUUCGAAUGCGCAUCAUAAUUACAGCUAACACUGGAGGACACGGAGAAUUAUCAUGUUUUCGAGGCAGCGUCGUGCAACGAUUGAGUGGUUACCGGUCUCCAGUUGGACAUAGCAAGAGGUGCACAGAGAUAUACUACCAAUCACGUCGCUGAAGGACACGGAGAAUCAACAUGUUUUCGAGGCAACGUCGUGCACCGCUCGCCAGUUGAGCAUUUUUAACUGCCAAGCGCCGCGCCGUAACCGGAUAAACAUACGGAGAAUCGACACGUUUCCGAGGCAACAUUGAGCAGCGAGCGAUUCCGUGGUUACCGGCCUCCAGUUAUACAUAUAGAGGAGCUAUACGUACACGUCUGAUGCGACCUGUAUUUGGAGAUACUAUUCGUACUGAUUUUACAUUCAUGAUAUAUUUCUUUAAUUUUUAUUAUUUAAAUAUUGUUAACGGAUAUAUUGGUUCUGCAUGAACGCGUAAUUAAAAGCUUUGAGUAAUACCACCAAUUUAUAUCAAUUGUAAAUGGAACCUAAAGGUUGUAAAACGCACUAGGCCUUAUGGUAAAAACUAUUUAUCGAUCAGCCUUUUAUAAAUGAAUGUCGUUACAAAUUGAAUAUAUAAAUAGUAUAUUUGAUCUAGUUAAUAUUCCUCUAAUUCACUGGUAAGUCAUGUUUCUGAACAUGUGCUCUCACACGUCCCCUGUGAUCUUUCGCGCACGAUUUGUACGCCUGUGGGCCACUGUCAGAACCUUUGCAAUAGAAUUUACUUUAGAUGUUCCUGACAACGGCUCCCUGAUUAUCAACUCACGUUGUGUAUUAGCGCAUGCUUUCACGAUUGAAAUACUUUUCAAUAAAUAUACUCUAACUAAAA